AUUGAACGCUGGCGGCAGGCUUAACACAUGCAAGUCGAACGAGUGGCGGACGGGUGAGUAAUGAUUGGGAAUCUAGCUUAUGGAGGGGGAUAACUACGGGAAACUGUAGCUAAUACUGCGUACCAUAGGAUGAGCCCAAGUGGGAUUAGGUAGUUGGUGGGGUAAAGGCUCACCAAGCCGACGAUAGCUAGCUGGUCUGAGAGGAUGACCAGCCACCCGGGGACUGAGACACGGCCCAGACUCCUAAGGGAGGGAGCAGUGGGGAAUAGUGGGCAACGGUGGCAACCUGACGCAGUCAUGCCGCGUGAAUGAAGAAGGCGCUCGGGUUGGAAAGUCGUUCUUGUAGCGAUGCGUUAGCGGCAGAAGAAGCACCGGCUAACUACGUGCCAGCAGCCGCGGUAAUAC
rnacentral:rRNA from 1 species